AGCUCGAUAGCGCAACGGUAGCGUAUCCGUUCCCGAUCUUUGAUUGAUAUGGACCUUAUAAUAUGGUUGAUGGAAGAUCUCGGUUCGACUCCGAGUCGAGCUA